GGGGAUGUAGCUCAGUGGUAGAGCGCAUGCAUUGCAGGUAUGAGCCCCUGGUUCAAUCCCUGGCAUCUCCA